CGUCAAGUCCUCAUGGCCCUUAUGCCUAGGGCUGCACACGUCCUACAAUGCCACACACAAAGGGAAGCAAAACCGCGAGGUCCAGCAAAUCCCAAAAAAUGUGGCCCAGUUCGGAUUGGAGUCUGCAAUUCGACUCCAUGAAGUCGGAAUCGCUAGUAAUCGCGGGUCAGCAUACCGCGGUGAAUGUGUUCCUGAGCCUU
rnacentral:rRNA from 1 species